rnacentral:rRNA from 1 species
UGGUGAAGUGAUUUGUCUGUGUUAAUUCCGUUAACGAGCGAGACCAUAACCUGCUAACUAGCGUACCAGGUCAUUCUCUCCCUCCUCGGAGGGGUAUGAGAGGCCUGAUAGUCGAGUGCCUUCGGGUGCUGGGCUGCGCUUCUUAGAGGGACUGCCAGUGUUGAACUGGAGGAAGCUUAAGGCAAUAACA